AUGCAGGCGGUUUGUUAAGUCAGAUGUGAAAGCCCGGGGCUCAACCUCGGAACCGCAUUUGAAACUGGCAGGCUAGAGUCUUGUAGAGGGGGGUAGAAUUUCAGGUGUAGCGGUGAAAUGCGUAGAGAUCUGAAGGAAUACCAGUGGCGAAGGCGGCCCCUGGACAAAGACUGACGCUCAGAUGCGAAAGCGUGGGUAGCAAACAGGAUUAGAUACCCUGGUAGUCCACGCCGUAAACGCUGUCUACUUGGAGGUUGAGGUUUAAGACUUUGGCUUUCGGCGCUAACGCAUUAAGUAGACCGCCUGGGGAGUACGACCGCAAGGUUAAAACUCAAAUGAAUUGACGGGGGCCCGCACAAGCGGUGGAGCAUGUGGUUUAAUUCGAUGCAACGCGAAGAACCUUACCUACUCUUGACAUCCAGCGAAGCCUUUAGAGAUAGAGGCGUGCCUUCGGGAGCGCUGAGACAGGUGCUGCAUGGCUGUCGUCAGCUCGUGUUGUGAAAUGUUGGGUUAAGUCCCGCAACGAGCGCAACCCUUAUCCUUGUUUGCCAGCACAUAAUGGUGGGAACUCCAGGGAGACUGCCGGUGAUAAACCGGAGGAAGGUGGGGACGACGUCAAGUCAUCAUGGCCCUUACGAGUAGGGCUACACACGUGCUACAAUGGCAGAUACAGAGGGCAGCGAGACAGCGAUGUUUAGCGAAUCCCUUAAAGUUUGUCGUAGUCCGGAUUGGAGUCUGCAACUCGACUCCAUGAAGU
rnacentral:rRNA from 1 species